rnacentral:lncRNA from 1 species
UGUCACCUUUGAUGGCAUCACUGGGUCUACCUUGGCCACCGGCAUCUGUGUGGUGGCCAGUAUAUGUGACCUCCAGGACUCUCUGUGGUUCCAGCUGCUGGGGAUGUCAGGGACACUGGGGACCAGCCAGCAGUGGUAGCACUUCACCUCUUCACUGCCUCAUGGCUUCAUCACCGUGCAGAAAAACAGGAAGGUCUGGCUCAGCAGCCCACCCCCCUGCAUGCGGAGUUCCCAGGAACGUUGACCAUCAUGGCGACACACACGACCCUCCAGGUCAGCUGAAUCCCGGGAAUUCUGGUGGAACUGUGCACUGCGGGGGUGACAGUGGAGGUGCCUAGAGAAGUGCAGGCUCUGCGGCAUCUGCAGCGACUACAAUGGUGCCACCAGCAGAGCCCAACGGGACGCAGGAUGGUAACGAGUGAUGCAUGGGUCCUGGCUGAGGCCUGGCAGCGCCCGACAUCACCCAGGUGGGUGACACCAUGGGGACACUGGGGGAGGGAGGACUGG